rnacentral:rRNA from 1 species
CCUACGGGUGACUGCAGUGAGGAAUAUUGGUCAAUGGGCGGAAGCCUGAACCAGCCAAGUAGCGUGCAGGAUGACGGCCCUACGGGUUGUAAACUGCUUUUAUACGGGAAUAACGCGCCUUACGUGUAGGGCUUUGCAUGUACCGUAUGAAUAAGGACCGGCUAAUUCCGGGCCAGCAGCCGCGGUAAUACGGAAGGUCCGGGCGUUAUCCGGAUUUAUUGGGGUUAAAGGGAGCGUAGGCCGCAUGUCAAGCGUGCUGUGAAAUGUCCGGGCUCAACCCGGGCCUUGCAGCGCGAACUGGGGUGCUUGAGUCCGCGGAAAGCAGGCGGAAUUCGUCGUGUAGCGGUGAAAUGCUUAGAUAUGACGAAGAACCCCGAUUGCGAAGGCAGCUUGCUGCAGCGGAACUGACGCUGAUGCUCGAAAGCGCGGGUAUCGAACAGGAUUAGAUACCCCGGUAGUC